rnacentral:rRNA from 1 species
UGCCAGCAGCCGCGGUAAUACGGAGGGUGCGAGCGUUAAUCGGAAUUACUGGGCGUAAAGCGCGCGUAGGUGGUCUGUUAAGUCGGAUGUGAAAGCCCCGGGCUCAACCUGGGAACUGCAUUCGAUACUGGCAGACUAGAGUGCGAGAGAGGGAGGUAGAAUUCCAUGUGUAGCGGUGAAAUGCGUAGAUAUGUGGAGGAACAUCAGUGGCGAAGGCGGCCACCUGGACUAAUACUGACACUGAGGUGCGAAGGCGUGGGGAGCAAACAGGAUUAGAUA